CAGAGCUGUCUUCAGGAGGAUUUGCAGGUUUGAGGCUUUUUGAAGUGCCUCAUUCAGAUGCAGAACCAGAUUGGUUCAACAUUGGUGUCUCAAGAUUUGCAAGGGGUUGCCUUUUCAUGAAUGACUGCGACGCUGCUGAAGAAAAUCUUAGGUGAUGGUUCUGUGCAUUUGGGCGAAAGAUUACUAGUAAAUUGUUGCCAGACAAAGAGAUAACUUAGGCCCUAACUGCUUCAAUUGUGUUUAAGACUUCAAAGGUUCCUUACAAAGGUAAGUUAAUUAUUGACUCGUCAUUUUAAUGAAACUGAUCAGUGGUUUUCACAUUGGUGAGUUAUGCUAUGGAACAGUCCAAAUAUCGCAUCCUUGCUGCAGGUGUAACUUUUUGUGUCAUUGUGUCUUUACGAAGAAAAGAGUUUAGGUGAAUCAAGUUGCUCUUUUCACAUUGGUAAGAGCGUGGGACCUAAUUAAUGUACAGUGUAGCUUUCAGCAAGAAGGGGUGUUUUCAUUUUAUGAAAUACAAGUUUGUGUAGAUUUUUGGAGGUUCAUAAGGAGAUAUGAAGCAUGUCUGGUUAAGGAUAGGUUAUCAAAAUUUUGGAAGUUACUAGAUAUGGAAGUAGUUUCCGGUUAAGAAUAGGUUUCUAAAUUUAUGGAAGUUACACAAUACUGAAGUAUUGUCUGGUAAGGAAUAGGUUUCUAAGCAUAGAAACUAAAAGGUGAUUUAUUACAAUAUUCAGGGCGAUAUAUACAUACCAACAGAACACUUGUUAGUUUGUCUAGCAGAAAAGAGAAGGAUAUAAGUAGCCAGCAAUUAAGGAAUUUUGUAUUGAUAGUGUUUCUGGAUCCAUGGAGGAUCUUCAUAUCAGCAUUAUGUCAGAGAUUCUUUAUCGCGUUCCUCUAGAAUUUGUUGUAAGCUGCAAACUUGUAUCCAAAAAGUGGAACGAUAUUCUGUCUCAAAGAAAGGUUGCCGGUAUCCUAUUCCUUGUUGGUUCAUAUUGGGAAAGAAAUUUUCAACUUUACUAUGGAAAUUUGAGUGAUAUUCUCAAGACUAGUGAUCCGGAGCAGUUUUCCUACAAGAAAUUCAUAAAGAUGAACCAUCCUCUCGUUAAUAGGCGAGAAUUUGCACACCCAGAAAAUUUCUUUGUUGGUUCACGCAAUGGUUUGGUUUGUUUCUCAGUACCCCAUCACUGCAUCAAUGAUCCAGUUUAUAUCACCAAUCCGAUCUCUGGGGAAUAUGUUAACCUUCCAAGAUUACACCCUAAACGUGGUCUUGUAAUUAGCGGAUUUGGUUACCUUCGUUCGAGUAAUGAGUAUAAGGUCGUUCGUAUUUUCUACCCCGACAAAGAAAAGAAUAGUUACAGUAAUAACAAUGCCGGAGUUGGAUGGGUUCAGAUUUAUACUUUAGGGGUGAGAGUAAUGGUUGGAGAAACAUCGGUGUCAUCACCUACGAAUUGUUUCAUGCGGGUACCUUUCUUGAUGGAUCCUUGUACUGGAUGGAAAGAUCCGAAGGGAAGAUUUUGGCUUUUGUUUCUGCUGAUGAGGAGUUCCGAGUGAUCUCGCCGUCACCAUGUGGCGGCUUUGGUUCUUAUUCUUCUCUGCAUAGCCUGAGGAUAUUGGGCGGGAACCUGUGUCUUGUCCAUCAACAGAAACGAGUCCGUCUUGAUAUAUGGUCAUUCAAAAGUAGGCAGCAAAGCAAGUAUAGCAACAACGUGAAAGAGGGAUAUCGGUUUUGGAGUUUGAGCUUGGAGUUCAGCAUUGCAACCCCAAGAAGGUCUGGUAUCUACAAUCCCUUCUCUCUCACUGAGAACAAUGAAGUUCUUUUGUGGUUGGAUGAAACGAUUCUUUGUCGUUAUGACCCAAAGACUAAAACGCUGGACCAACUAGUGGAUCUAGCUUUUGAUAGUAGUGUGAGAACUUGUCAGGCAGUCACACACUUGAAUUGCCUUGUCUCACUAAAAAGCUUAGGAGUGAAUUCUAAGAGAAGAUGAUAAUUUGUUUAUGGAGAGAUCUG